AUUGAACGCUGGCGGCAGGCCUAACACAUGCAAGUCGAGCGAGCGGCGGACGGGUGAGUAAUGUAUGGGGACAUGCCCGAUAGAGGGGGAUAACUACUGGAAACGGUAGCUAAUACCGCAUACCAUCAGAUGAACCCAGAUGGGAUUAGCUGGUGGGUGGGGUAAAGGCUCACCAAGGCGACGAUCUCUAGCUGGUCUGAGAGGAUGAUCAGCCACACGGGGACUGAGACACGGUCCAGACUCCUACGGGAGGCAGCAGUGGGGAAUAUUGCACAAUGGGCGCAAGCCUGAGGCAGCCAUGCCGCGUGUAUGAAGAAGGCCUUAGGGUUGUAAAGUACUUUCAGCGGGGAGGCGUUACCCGCAGAAGAAGCACCGGCUAACUCCGUGCCAGCAGCCGCGGUAAUUC
rnacentral:rRNA from 1 species